GCCAGGUGUAGUGGUGUGCACCUGUAAUCCCAGCUACUCAGGAGGCUGAGGCAGGAGAAUCACUUGAACCCAGGAGGUGGAGGUUGCAGUCAGCUGAGAUCGCACCACUGCACUCCAGCCUGGGCGACAGAGUGAGACUCUGUCUCAA
rfam:Pan troglodytes isolate Yerkes chimp pedigree #C0471 (Clint) chromosome 13, whole genome shotgun sequence.